rnacentral:tRNA from 1 species
UGGGGCGUCGUCAAACUGGUAAGACGCAGGACUUUGGAUCCUGUUUUGGAGGUUCGAGUCCUCCCGCCCCAGCCA